rnacentral:rRNA from 1 species
CACGAACCGUACGAACGUUAUUCGGAAUUACUGGGCUUAAAGGGUUUGUAGGCGGCCUUGUAAGUCAGGUGUGAAAUCCCUCGGCUCAACCGAGGAAUGGCGCUUGAUACUGCAAGGCUUGAGGGAGACAGGGGUAAGCGGAACUGAUGGUGGAGCGGUGAAAUGCGUUGAUAUCAUCAGGAACACCGGUGGCGAAAGCGGCUUACUGGGUCUCUUCUGACGCUGAGGGACGAAAGCUAGGGUAGCGAACGGG